UUUUUUACUCCAUUCAAAUGUGUAUAGAUACGCCCCUGACAACACAUUCUGUACUUUUGUUCAAGCUGUUGUUCAUAAAACCUGCAUCAAAUGAAAACUUCACUGAUUGCAAUAAACAAUUCGAGAUUCAUCAACUCAGCGUACAGCUACUCGACGCCAUUUUUGGGCAUGGACCUGUGGAAAUACUUCUUGGUUGCUCUUUCCCUGCUGAUGGGAUCAAAGAUGGUCGAGUCUAACUCAAAUCAUCUACCACUGAAUGCAUCAGUAGUUCAAAUAAUAGAACGUCUGGAGAAAGUUGGAAAACGUAAUGAGGCAAAGUGAAGACAGUAAAGUUGUCUUGCUUGGUUCCCUAACGAGGACUCUACGCAACCAACAACGCAAAAUCUCUAAUGUCAUAAAAUACAUUGCUU